AAGACUAUUUCCUGUGAAGAUGUAGCUAGAGACUCUCUUUCUAGUGGGGCAAGGAAAGAGUAAGAGGAGGGGAUACAACUGUAAUUGCAGACCGAAGGGGAGAACAGUGGGGAACUUCAGCUGCUGUUGCCAGAUACCUUAGAGCUCAGGCUAUGGCAAGAGCUUGCAACUUCUCUUGGUGGAAGGGGGAAGUUUCCUCAUCUCUACAACAGGCAUAUCCUGUGACCUUGAUAGCAGCUCAUCUCAGGCCGCUGGUUUCAAAGAGCUCUGAGGAGGAUGUUUUGCUGCUUUGGCAUUUUUGCUCGCACUCCUGUAUUAAACUCUUUCACCAACUUCCUUGAACUUUUUUCUCUCUGUUGCCAUAACGUCACGCGUGCUUCUGGGAGGCAUUCCAACUUGCAGUUGCAGAAGUGGGUCACUCCUCACACAGACACAUGUGCAAUCUGUUGCAGAUGCCCAGGCUGUCAGCAUAGCACUCAGGGGACCUGAGAAGCACGAUCCCAGCCUGUUGCUUUAGAAGAUUCACAGUAUUGCCAAUCUGCAUUAACUCUUAUGUUUGUUCUCUCUGCCAGUCUACAAAAAGGGGCUUGUAAUGAUCACCCAACUAAAGACAAAUUAUUAAUUUCAGAUGCUGAAGGAGAUUUGUGUCAGAGCCCAGCUUUGGCUGGGUGACUUACGCAGAGCUUAAAAGCAUCUAGCUCAUCUCCCUGCCUCAUUCUGCAUUCUGUGCCAUUUCUCUCACCGCCUCAGGGCAGAAUGUUUCAGAAAGUUGGAGCGGGAGUAUUUUUAUUCAUCCUGUUACAUGAAGUUAAUCUCGUGUAGCAAAGCAGCUGUGUAAUGUUUUGUAUUAAAUCUCAUGUCUUCCCUUGGGUGCGAUUAAAAUUCAGGUGAAGGGGUUUUUUAAUUUUAUUUUUAUUUCCCCACUCCUGAAGUUCUCAAGGGGCCAUUAGACUUCAUUCUUAAUAGCUUGCCAUCCCCUUGCCUCUACGGAUCUUGCUGCACACCCAACUGCACUGCUCUGACUGAUGGAGGGUGAGGGCUCUUUAGCGGCUUGUGCUUACUCUGUGUGUUAGUGAGGCCAUUUCUGGCUCAGGUACGGGGUGGCUGCUCCCUGGCACACUGAACACAGCCUUGCUUGGCAAGUUGUGUACUUGCCUGAUUACAGCCCUGGAACAUCACGGAUCCCAGUUGGAAAAAGACCAGCUGCUCUAUCAAUACCCUGGCCUUCGCAGAAGUGUUGCUUCAUUUCAGUGGCUGUUUCCAAGGAAGCAAGAGUUUCUGCUCUCAGCCUUUCUAACACACUAUUGCUUCUGCUUGAGAUCGGGGUAUUCACACCCACUCCGUCAGGUUAAACAGAAAAGCCCCUUUUUUUCUGUCUCUGGCCUUCCUUUCCCUGCUCAGUCUCUCUGCUUUGUGUUCUUCCCUAUGCAACCCAAAUCAGAUCACCUGGAAGAACACUGUGAGAGACCUGACAAGAGUGAUUGAGAAGAUAUUAUGGGACACAUGAAAGAAAAGGAAGAAUUAGUGAAAGUCCUACAGAAAACAGAACACAGCUGGAGACAGUAAAAGAGCCCAGAGAAGAGGAGAUGAAAGCUGGAGAGAGUACAGGCUGAGAAGGAGAGAUACAGAAAAUUACAGACUAUUGCAAACUGCAUAGGAAAAGCUGACCUGGGGGCUGGCACUGCUUUCUUUUUUCCCCUCUGAACCUCUACUAGAAAACCUGCAACUGCCUUAAAAGCAGUGCUGCAGAAACAGUUUUUGCAAACCCAUAUUUGAUUCUGAACUCUUGAGUCUCAACUCAACUCUACUUCACUUGAUUUCAGAAAGCCCAGCUAAUUUUUUCUUAUCACAUUUUUAACUUUCACAGCCUCUCUUGCAAUUUGUUAUCACAGACAGCAUCACAAGUUCCAAACCAUGGCAUGAAAGGCCACUGAGAGGGACUGGUUAUGAGAGGGAGGAGCAGGAAGCAUCAGAGCCUCUGCCAAGCUUGUUUCAAGGGUAUGCUGGAUUCAACAUCUAGUGGUCUGGAGGAAUAUUUUGGGGAUGCUUGAGAACAGAAUCUGCAUUGCCUGCGUUCUGGAUACUUCUCUUGUGUAGUUCAGAAAAACAGGAAACAUGGAGAAGCUUUUUCUUUUCCUUGCUUUAUAAGC